GAGUUUGAUCGUGGCUCAGAUUGAACGCUGGCGGCAGGCCUAACACAUGCAAGUCGAGCGGAUGAAGGGAGCUUGCUCCUGGAUUCAGCGGCGGACGGGUGAGUAAUGCCUAGGAAUCUGCCUGGUAGUGGGGGAUAACGUCCGGAAACGGGCGCUAAUACCGCAUACGUCCUGAGGGAGAAAGUGGGGGAUCUUCGGACCUCACGCUAUCAGAUGAGCCUAGGUCGGAUUAGCUAGUUGGUGGGGUAAAGGCCUACCAAGGCGACGAUCCGUAACUGGUCUGAGAGGAUGAUCAGUCACACUGGAACUGAGACACGGUCCAGACUCCUACGGGAGGCAGCAGUGGGGAAUAGUUGGACAAUGGGCGAAAGCCUGAUCCAGCCAUGCCGCGUGUGUGAAGAAGGUCUUCGGAUUGUAAAGCACUUUAAGUUGGG
rnacentral:rRNA from 1 species